rnacentral:rRNA from 1 species
AUUGAACGCUGGCGGCAGGCCUAACACAUGCAAGUCGAACGAGUGGCGGACGGGUGAGUAAUGUCUGGGAAACUGCCUGAUGGAGGGGGAUAACUACUGGAAACGGUAGCUAAUACCGCAUACCAUCGGAUGUGCCCAGAUGGGAUUGGCUAGUGGGGGGGGUAACGGCUCACCAAGGCGACGAUCCCUAGCUGGUCUGAGAGGUGGACGAGCCAAACGGGACCGGAGCAACGGCCCAGCCUCCUCGGGGAGGCAGCAGUGGGGAAUAUUGCACAUGGGGGGAAGGCUGGAUACAGCCAUCCCGCGGAGAUGAAGCAGGCCUUCGGGUUGUAAAGUACGUUCAGCGGGGAGGCGGUACCGGCAGAAGAAGCACCGGCUAACUCCGUGCCAGCCGCCGCGGUAAUAC